rnacentral:rRNA from 1 species
AACGAACGCUGGCGGCAGGCUUAACACAUGCAAGUCGAACGCCCCGCAAGGGGAGUGGCAGACGGGUGAGUAACGCGUGGGAAUCUACCCAGAUCUUCGGAACAACUGAGGGAAACUUCAGCUAAUACCGGAUACGCCCUACGGGGGAAAGAUUUAUCGGUUCUGGAUGAGCCCGCGUUGGAUUAGCUAGUUGGUGGGGUAAUGGCCUACCAAGGCGACGAUCCAUAGCUGGUCUGAGAGGAUGAUCAGCCACACUGGGACUGAGACACGGCCCAGACUCCUACGGGAGGCAGCAGUGGGGAAUAUUGGACAAUGGGCGAAAGCCUGAUCCAGCCAUGCCGCGUGAGUGAUGAAGGCCUUAGGGUUGUAAAGCUCUUUCAGUGGGGAAGAUAAUGACGGUACCCACAGAAGAAGCCCCGGCUAACUUCGUGCCAGCAGCCGCGGUAACAC